rnacentral:lncRNA from 1 species
CUUAGUUCCUGCUGUGGGUCUAAUUUUGAAAGAAAAAAAUACUAAACAAAUUCUAUUCCUAUGUUAUACCAUGGGCUGAAUUUUUAUCUCAGUUACACAGACUUUUCUGCUUUCUCUGCCAAAGAGCUAAUAGGCCCAACAUUUUGGAAUCUGGUACACGUAGGUCUACUCAUCUCCCACGUGACUAUUUAGGACAUAAUCAUCAGAAAAAAAAAAUGUCUAGAGACGGCUGGAUGUUCUCCAUGCGGAAGAAGGAAGCGGAUGAGGAAGCCAGCCUGAGCAGUGCAGGGGAAGAGGCAUCGUCUUACUUGAUGUUGUUAUUGAGCGUACAUCUGUCCCCAUCCCAAAAGAGCUCCAGACCUCAGCUUCUUCCUUGCCUGGGUCCAGUCUUGCCUGUCCUCCCUGGGAUAGCAUGCUGUGCUAAUACAGAGCCAGUUUACACAGUUCCCAGCAGGUGGCAGUGUUGCCCGGCGUUGUGGUCCCUCAGAGGCUGGAUGCGGAUUCAAAGCACAGCUGAAGUGGUCAACCUCUGUCCAAAUAACAUGUGGCCAAUGAUCACAGUAGAGGGGCGCAGUCGGUUAUCCACCACCGGUAACUUGUUAAACUGUUCAGUACACUACUUAUUCCUCAACAGCCUUGCUCCCAGACCACCUCUCUUCUACAACUGCACGUUGGUUCCCUUUGAUUAUUGGAAAAGUCUUAAUUCCUUAGUCUAAAAAUUAAAAACUUCCAUCUACUGAAUUCAAUUAGUUUCUCCGGCCUGAAGGACAUAAUUCCACCCCCAAAUACGUCAUGCAGCAGCCAUAUUGACUCCCUGGCCUGCGAAGAACUUGAAAGACAGCGGGUGCAGGAAAGUUCCGGAAUCUUCCUUCACUAUCUCGAAAGCAGAUGAAAUUCCCUGCCCAGCACCGGGAGGCUAUCAUCCUUAUCCUCAAGGACAGAAAGCCAAGGUCAGGGGAAAUCUGUGCAAAUAGUUCUUCCACAGUAAUUCUUAGUUUUCCAGUCACUUCUCCACCCACUUAAUUACCCUUUUUCAAGCCCACUGUCUUGUUAUGGUUCCACAGUUUAUGACUCUUUGUCCCAGUCCCUGUUUACAGGUCCAACUCUAACUGACUGGGGUCUUUGUUUCUUUACGAAUGCCCCAGGCUACAUCAAACCUGUGUUAAAUACAUUUGUUUGCUUUUUCCUGAUGGUCUCUCUUAUGUCAACUUGAUUCUCAGGCCUAGGUAGAAAACUCUAAGAGAACCGCAGUGAAGGUUUGCUUCCUCUACUGUGGCAGUCAGGAUGGGCAGCAAUAGGAGAAAACAGGAAGGAAGGAUAAGAAUUAGGAGUUUCCCACAGUAUCUUAGGACUAUGGAAAUUAUUGAGGAAAUUAAAAAAAUAAUUCGUUAUAAGGUGUGUUGGUUUGGCAUUUAUUUUUGCAAGGGAACACAAUACAAUACAGGACACAUAUUUUAUAUGAUUAUUUAUAGUAGUCACCCAAAGAACAAUGUACAAAAGAGUGCAGGAAAUCUGUCCACACACC